UAACCUAUCUCAGCGGUUCGCACACUUUACACUUCAGCCAAUCACAAUCCCCGGAGAUUCGUUAAAGCACAGUUGGCUCCUGCCUUCCCCACCUCAUCCGUCCAACCUCCCCUUUCUGACUCUUUAAGUCUUCCAAGGGCCGGAGAUUUUGCGUUUCUAACAAGUUCCCAGGUGAUGCUGAGGCAGUCGUGAAGAUCAAGAGCUAGCGUUCACGUUUCAUUUCGUUCCAACCCAGGCCUCUUUUCCUCGGAAUGUUAGACUCUUACUUUUCCUCUUGAGUAUGCGCCAAGCCUAUAUGUGUGGCAGCAAAAGAUUGUCAAGGUCAUAAACAGCAAAGGAAGAGUGGGGAACUGCUCCAGAUUCAGACUAAGGAGACAUGACACUCACAUGCCAUGUAGAGUCAUGGAUUGGACCCUGAAGCCACUGGAAAUCCAAGUGGAUAGAUAAACAUACCGAGGUGUGGUCAAGCGGUGAAAGGCUAGUCAGCCAUAAAGACAGAAUGAAAUGCUGCUAUAUACCAUGACGUGGAUGGAUCCCAAAAACGUUAUGCUGAGUAAAAGAAGCCUGACACACCAAAAAGUACAUACUGUAUGAUCCCAUUUAUGUGAAAUUCCAGACAGGACAAAUCUAAUCUACAGUGACAGAAAGCAGACCAGUGGUUGCCUGGAGCUGGGGCUGGAAGGAUUGACUGGGAAGCAACACAAGGGAAUGUUCUGAGGUGAAGCAAAUGUUCUGCAUCUUGAUUGUAGCAGUGGUUACUUGGUUAUAUAAACUUGUCGGAGCUCAUCAAAAUGUACAUUUGAAAUAGGUGCGCUUUGCUGAAUGACAAUCAUACCUCAAUAAAGUUGAUUCAACAGGAUAAAACAUUUAAUGAGUAGAACAUACUGUGCUACUCAAAUAUCCAACUGUGAAGAAGCCUGCAUAUAGACACAGAGAGAGAAAUCAUCCCUGGGGCACCUCAGUCCGUAAAAGGUACUCACCUUCAUGAUGACCCCAGGUUCUUCUGGAAGCUGCCUUAUGGGCUUGCUGUGGGGCCUGCCCUAGGGUUCGGCGUCUUAGCCAUCUUGAGGCACCAUGGUUUGUGCUGAGUUAUGGGAUGACCCGGGAAUUCUGUUUUAGCCCUCGGUUGAAGGACUUUGCCCUCUCUUCCCAGCUCUGGUCUGCUGCCUGGGCGUGGAGAAGCUCGUGCUGCCCAGCCAACUCCCACCUGAGGCUGAAGUCUUUUCAAUUUACAGAGAGAGGUGACGUAACUGGCCCUUUUUUUUUUUUCUUCCUCUUCCUCUCUCUACUUUGUCUGUCAAGGCCCCCAAAUCACAUCCUACUUCUACUGGACUCUGCUAGAACCUCUCUGUCUUUUCAGCUGAUAGCUC